ACAGGUGGUGCAUGGUUGUCGUCAGCUCGUGUCGUGAGAUGUGGUUAAGUCCCGCAACGAGCGCAACCCACGUUUAGUUGCUAACGCGUGAAGGCGAGCACUCUAGACGAACUGCCGUUGACAAAACGGAGGAAGGUGGGGAUGACGUCAAAUCAUCAUGCCCCUUAUGUUCUGGGCUACACACGUGCUACAAUGGCCGGUACAGACGGACGCAAAGCCGCGAGGUGGAGCAAAUCCUAAAAAGCCGGUCUCAGUUCGGAUUGCAGGCUGCAAUUCGCCUGCAUGAAGUCGGAAUCGCUAGUAAUCGCAGGUCAGCAUACUGCGGUGAAUACGUUCCCGGGCCUU
rnacentral:rRNA from 1 species